ACAAAAAAUCUUCAACAUAAUCUGGAAGUACGUGAGACUGAGAAGCGAACCUGUCAUCCAACUGAGUCAGGUCGCAUACCUGCAAGGAGCGUGGUAGAAGGGAUAUCCAGGUUGAGGUGAUCUCACGUUCGUCAAAUGAGAUCACCGAGUGGCUUGCACACCUGGAAUGGAAGUCAGACCCACAAAGAAGUACUCAGCAGAACCCCAGACAAGCGCCCCAGGUGAGGAAU